rnacentral:rRNA from 1 species
UACAUGGGGUGCAAACGUUGCUCGGAAUUAUUGGGCGUAAAGCGCACGUAGGCGGUCCGUUAAGUCGGAUGUGAAAGCCCCCGGCUCAACCGGGGAAGUGCAUCCGAAACUGGCAGGCUAGAGUACGAAAGAGGGUCGCGGAAUUCCCGGUGUAGAGGUGAAAUUCGUAGAUAUUCGGAAGAACACCAGUGGCGAAGGCGGCUCACUGGACUGGUAUGACGCUGAGGUGCGAAAGCUAGGGGAGCAAAGCGGG